AUAGAGGCAGCAGUAGAGAAUCUUGUGCAAUGCACGAAAGUAUGACACAGAGAGGACACAUUUAUUUGAGCCCGUCAAAUUAAGUGCCAGCCGACGCGGUUAGACUUAAGGGCUGGUCUUUAUAAGUAAAAAGGCGUAAAGGAUGUGUAGGCCAAGAAAUUAUCCAAGAAGGUAAAUGGAAUUUUUUCUGGAGCGGUAGAAUGUGAGGAUAGAAAAUAGAACACCUAAGGUUAAAACUAUUUACCACAAAAUAGGCUGAAACAUGAAAGUGUGGGGAGCAAACAGGAUUAGAGACCCUGGUAGUCCACUCUGUGAACUUUGAAGAUUAUGCUUAGCAGACCCGAAAGGUAAAAUCUUCCGCCUGAGUAGUACGAUCGCAAGAUUAAAAUUCAAAAACUUUGGCUGUUCACUAUUUCGAUUAGAGGAGCGUGUAGUUUAAUUCGAUGGUCCGCGUGUUACCUUACCCCAGCUUGAAUCUAUGACCGGUAUUGCAUGGCCGUCGUAAGUCCGUGUGUUAAACUAGAAGGGACCCAAUCCGGGCGUUUGCCCGAAGGAAGUCAGGUCUUAUGAUCCGAAUGUUGGGGGAUUUUAUGCGCUACAUUUUCUUAUAUAAUGAGAGACUUGAAAGGUAAGCCUCUAAAGUAAGAGUUCGGAAGGUCGCUGUAAAACGACUGGAAGUUGGAUUUAAUAGUAAUCGGAAAGUAGGGCGUUCCGGUGAAUUGGAACAAGUGUUAGCUCAAAUUGCCCGUCACCUUUACCUAGAAGGUUAUUCGGACGCCUUAGG
rnacentral:rRNA from 1 species